CACGCGCAGCGCGGUAAACGCCCCCGCACCCAUUGCGACGGGAGCUUUGGGGGGAGCUGGGUUAGGUUAGCGGGCGUGCGGCGUUGGGAAGGAGGGAGGAACUAGAGAGAGGGAGUCGGCGGUGCUUGGGAUCGGGGAAAAGGAUGCUAGGGCGCCAGCGACGGGAACGAGGUAGGCUGGAGGGAGCAGUCGGCGGCGGCGAUACCGAGGAGGCAGGAGGCUGAGACAGAGGGGUUAAGUAGGAGGUAGGGAAAGACGAGCUCCACGAGUAGCCGGGUCCAGCACUCCUUCGGCGCACUCCUCCUCGGGUCCAGCGCUUCGGCGCACUCCUCCUCUCUGGAGCGGGCUCUUCGACACCCUCCUCCCGGAGUUGGUCUCUCCUCGCCGACGGUCGGUACAUCAGCCGAGUCGAGCUGUGGCAGGAACCGCAGGCCCGGCGCCGUCUGGGAUCGCGGUAGGAAGUCCUCAGAAGUGCUGGCGGUCCACGCGUAGAAAGUCCUAAAUUAUUACUCAAUACAACCCGAAGUAACCUGUUUACUAGAUGGACCUCGUUACUAUGUCGAUGACCUGACCAAAAUCAACUAUUAUUUAACAAGAGAUAAAGUUUCUCGUUGUUGUGCUCUAACACGCGACAGAACGAGGUCGUAUGUUACACGGUCCAAGAUGACGUUGUCAUACUGUAUGUUUCACUACCUCCUCUCCACAAGUCUCUUUCUCAAUAUGUACACGGUCCAAGACUUCAUACUCCUAGGCCACGCUGUUCUUCGUCGACACUUAUACCAAGGACAUCUACUUGAAUUCCUCUUCCGCGAAUAAAGUGACCGGUUCCUUUGUACACUUUUUCCACCCUAGAAAGGCAGCCGAAGCGUCGACCGAUAUACGUAGUAUCUCGUAGAUUAGACGUAGUUGAAAUCUGUACCACACCUCGCAGCUGGUGCCGCUCGAACCGAUUACAGUUGUGCACUUCGACCCAGUUCAUGUCUUCUGCUUUGUGUUCUAAGUUCUAGUGAGAGAACAUACACUAAUAAAUGAGUAAAGCUCGGUAAAACGUUGGGUCGAACUGAAGAAAAUUAAACACUAGACUCGAUAUGUGUGGUUUUAAUCGGGUGCAUUCAAACUUGGUAUAGACUUGUACAAUCUAGUGAGAGGACAUACACUACUAAAUGAGAUACCUCGGUACAAUACUGGAUCGAACUCAAGAAAAUAAACGCUAGACUCGACGUUUUAUUUUUAUUUUUAUCAGGUGCAUUAAACUUGGUAUAGACUUGUAAAAUCAUAGACUUAUGACUUUAAUGGUUUAGAAGUGAAGCGGUACACACUGUGGUGACUCAUGAAAUUGAUUCGAUCGACAUCAUUAUAAUGCAAAAUGUACCGAUACGUUCAAUUUCCAAGAUUAUAUCACAUGCAAAUAACUAUAAAACACAAUAUGACUAAUUAUAUGAAGUGUAUAUUCAAAAUUCGAUUCUCGAGGAUUAUUAACAAAGAGGAGAAACGUCAACGGUAAAAUCAGUAUAAAAACGACUCUAUUUCUUAUUAUAACUCUAUUUAAAGGAAAGGCUACUACUCUAACCCAUACGGAUACAAAACAUAAAAAAAGUCAUAAUAGAAUAAAGUCCGAAGUCAAUCUACUCUCUCGAUUCUCUAUUAUACCAUUUGUUAAAGAUAGUUCACCCACUCGAGGUAAAAGUUCCAUUCAGUCCACUGUCGGUUUUUUUUGGUUCCUCUACUCAGAGAAUAGUCAACUAAACUAGAAUAGGUCCAAGAUAAAAGAAAGUCCGGUACUCAAUGCUACAGAACCAAUCUCGAUGAUGUAAGUUUCUCAUUUAGACAAAGCAACAUGACCUAAAUACAUGUAACAUACUUUUUCCACGUAGAUAAUACGGGACAUCUUAAAAGUCGACUCGUUAACACAUCUGAAUGUUUCGAAUAGUACUGUCUACAAUCACUAAAAACAUAACCCCGGUACAAUGUAGAGAUCCCAACUUAAUUACCGAUCUUUAAGUCUCAAUGUAUCGACUUUUGUCCCAACGAGCUUCGUUUGUUCGACGAAUAAGUCAUAAAAAUUGUGAGUACCUUUUCCAUAUACGAUUAGGAUUUAAGGUUUAAUAAUAAUAUAGUGUAUUGACUUUCACGUAAUCUGGUUACCACAAUAGUCUUUAUUUAAAGACGGGGUAUCGACUUGGCACAGAAAAGAGUCACACAUAUAUACAAUCUCUACACAUACUAAGCCUAUUAAAAGAAGUAAACAAUUGAAAUGGUUACAUACCGACUGUACGAAGUAAUACAAUAUAGUGUAGACUUUCACGUAAUGUGGCCACCAAAUAAUCUUACCUAUUAAAGCCAGUUUAUUAACUCAAGAAAAGAAGACACAUAUAUGUUCAAUAUCUACACGUACUAAUACAAAUAAGAGAUGUAAACCAUUUAAGUGGAUACAUACCGACUGUAUGAAGAAGUCCAAUACAAAGAUUUCGAGGUACGAAUUAGUAGGUCUUACAAAGGUUCACUGACGAAAUGUGUACCCUCUGACCUACGUAUCUCCUCAAGUCUCUUCGACCACAAUACAAUGUAUACCAGAAGUUCGACUACGAUACAAAGAAGGUACCAAACAUAUAAACAACGUUUUUGUAUCAUGUUCUUUUUCUAGAUACGAGUACUUCUACCGUCUUCCCUUGAUGUACACCUUGUUCUUGGUGGUCGCGACUGGUCAACCCGCAGACCUAUCACCAUCACGUGUUUUUAACGAACGGCAUAUCUCAGUUGCAUUAGAUGAUGAUCGGGUGAGCGACUAAAAAUACAAUACUUUAAUAUCAAGUUGGUAUCAUACAUAAAUGUGAGGACGACACUCUAACAUGAUGUAUUUAAUACCCUCCUGUUUCAUCCGGAAAUAUACGUUUAUUGUUGAACAACUUUACUCAUUGAACUCGGUAAACCGUGUUGUCCAGAUAAAAGAAUGAACGUUAUUACACGUAACGGAAAAUAAGAUGGCAGACUUUUUUCAAACACUCAGUACUGUGUUCUUAAGAGGUGACAAUGACAUUGAUUUAUAUUCUACUUGACGUUUUUGUAGAAUAUAAAUCAAUGUCUCCCUCAUCCACAAACACGGAUAUUCUUUACGAUUGAACUUUAGGUUGUUUGUUACUGGUUGGAUGUGAUUUCAUUUUGAGACGUCUGUGUUUUGUUUAUGAUCUGUUGAAUUUACCAAAGAUUCGUGAAAAAUAAUCUUUUGGCUCAGAUGAUAACUUAAGAUACGAGAUUCCUAACGGAUGGUUUC
rnacentral:rRNA from 1 species